rnacentral:rRNA from 1 species
UGGGGAAUAUUGGGCAAUGGGCGAGAGCCUGACCCAGCGACGCCGCGUGAGGGAAGAAGGCCUUCGGGUCGUAAACCUCUGUCAGGAGGGAAGAAGUGGUAAGCCCUAAACAGGGGCUUUCCUUGACGGUACCUCCAGAGGAAGCACCGGCCAACUCCGUGCCAGCAGCCGCGGUAAUACGGAGGGUGCAAGCGUUAUUCGGAAUCACUGGGCGUAAAGCGCGCGUAGGCGGCUUCGUAAGUCAGAUGUGAAAGCCCUCGGCUCAACCGAGGAAUUGCAUUUGAAACUGCGGAGCUAGAGUUCGGGAGAGGGUGGCGGAAUUCCAGGUGUAGGAGUGAAAUCCGUAGAUAUCUGGAGGAACACCAGAGGCGAAGGCGGCCACCUGGACCGAAACUGACGCUGAGGUGCGAAAGCGUGGGGAGCAAACA